UUAUCACUCUGUCAAGGCUUUCUCUCUUCAACCACCACCACAACAAUGGGCCCUCCUACCCUCUCAUGUGUCUGUGCUCCUCACCCUCUCCUGAGCCCUUUGUUUCAGGCGGUGCAUUUGGACAGCCGGCAAAGGUUGAGGGGAAGUAAGAUAAAGUGGUGUUGUGCCUACUUCAUUGUCUGGCAGUACUGCUGCCAGCUGUAUUUAUCCAUUUGGAGUUUAUGGAGCCUGAGGUAAAGGUCCAUAGUGGUAGAUGAACUAUUUAAAUGUUGGGGUAUAAGAUUGUGACUUAGUAUCUUAGCAAAAUAUAUAUAAAUAUUUUUUUUUAUAUUACGUUUUCACUUGCUCCUUCAGCGUCUGAGAAAAUGUGUCUAUUAAUCUUUCUCUAUUAUAUUUUUACCUAUUUCUUGAUGGGUGUCUGAGAAAAUAUGCUUACUAGGCUUUCUUUAUUAUAUUUUCACUUGUUCCUUGAUGAGUGUCUGAGAAAAUAUGCUCACUGGUUUUCCUCUAUUAUAUUUUCACUUGUUCCUUGAUGAGCGUCUGAGAAAACAUGCUUACUAGUCUUUCUCUAUUAUAUUUUCACCUGUUCCUUGAUGAGUGCCUGGGAAGAGUGGGUAUGCUAUCUCAACAGUGUAUGAAUAGCGAGGAGUGUGACUCCCUUUACCAAUGUAGUCUUUAUGUAUCUGAUUCUUUUCUAAAUCCCCUUAUCAGUGUAAAUAAAGCUAAACAAUGGAAUCAACUGAGAACAAUCAAACAUGUCUGACUAAAAUAAAGAAUCUUCCUAAUAUCAUAUAAAAAUAGCUGCCAGUGGCCCUUGUAAAAUAAGGAGCGCUGAGCCAGUCUGCACAGUCCAACCCUUGGUGGUACAUAGGCAGCAGAACCACCAGGACAGAGCCGGCACAGACACACACCACACCAAGACCCGCCACUUAAGAGGGACAAGUGGGUGAUAACUCAUGACCUUGACCAUCACAACACUCACCUCAACUAAUAUUUCAUAAUUUUCUCUAAAUUUCUGCAACUCUCAUACUCCAAGGUCAUCCAGAUGAGCAAAUUACAAAGACCCACCGAGCAUGAGAACAACCUGGCCAGUGAACAUCUGUCAAGAGAAGCACUGCAUAACAACCUGGUCAGUGUGUUGAGGAUGCGAGCCACAGCAGAGAGGGAGACGGCUGGGGCACUGGGAGGCUGCACAGCCCA